rnacentral:rRNA from 1 species
GACGAACGCUGGCGGCGUGCUUAACACAUGCAAGUCGAACGAAGAGCGACGGAAGCUUGCUUCUAUCAAUCUUAGUGGCGAACGGGUGAGUAACGCGUAAUCAACCUGCCCUUCAGAGGGGGACAACAGUUGGAAACGACUGCUAAUACCGCAUACGAUCUAACCUCGGCAUCGAGGAAAGAUGAAAGGUGGCCUCUAUGUAUAAGCUAUCACUGAAGGAGGGGAUUGCGUCUGAUUAGCUAGUUGGAGGGGUAACGGCCCACCAAGGCGAUGAUCAGUAGCCGGUCUGAGAGGAUGAACGGCCACAUUGGGACUGAGACACGGCCCAGACUCCUACGGGAGGCAGCAGUGGGGAAUCUUCCGCAAUGGACGAAAGUCUGACGGAGCAACGCCGCGUGAGUGAUGACGGCCUUCGGGUUGUAAAGCUCUGUUAAUCGGGACGAAAGGUCUUCUUGCGAAUAGUUAG